rnacentral:snRNA from 1 species
AUCGCUUCUCGGCCUUUUGGCUAAGAUCAAGUGUAGUAUAAACAAUAAAUGCUAGAGGAUGUGGAGAAAAAGGAACCCUCU